CCCAAGUGAGAUUUAUUUGAUGUUUGUUCCUUGAUAUUAGUACGAAAAUACAAAAUGCAGUAGAAUUAGUGUUAGCCUGGGGAAAUCUCUGACCUUGGAGUUACUGAGCUGUUUCUGGUUCUUUCUUAAAGACGCUAAACAUGUAUUGUGUCCCACUUGCAGCAUAAACUACUGAAGAAUUGUGGCUGUGAAUUUGUGCAAACUGUUUUAACAAGAGAAUCCAUGUGGAAAUUUCUCCAUUUUUUAAACUAUUAUUUUGGACUGUUUUCUUCAUGUCAAACCAAGGUGCAAGAUGCUAGUUCCUGAAGCUGGACACAAGGGUUAAAUUAUGCUCUGCGUAUGUUGUACUGGUAGGGUAUUUAAUAUACUGUAACAGCGCAUCAAAUCUGUUCCUGCAAUGCCUUGAUAUCAGACAUUGUGACACCAGCCAUUUCUGGCACUAAAGAAUAUGUAAGAUGAUUUCUACUUCCAGUAUAAAGGAGUUCAUUUCUAUGAUAUUUUUUUACAAUUUUGGUAUUUAAAUUAGAUUAUUAAAAAGCAGAUGUGGUAGAACCAUGGUAUGUGUCAUUUAGAAGAAUAGAUUGAAAAUUUGGGCCUUAACUUGCUGGGACCAGCUGUCCUAGAUCAGAUUGUGCUGACAAGGCAUUUAUUGCCAGACAUGAGUUAGUUCCUCUUGUACCCAUCUCCUUAAAAAGGAAAUGAAUUGUGAGUUUGUGGGGAGUGCAGGUUGAUUCUGUAGUACCAGUCCUAAGCAUGGUGGUAGCUUUUUUAAAAAACACUCAGUUUUGUCUCUCUUCUGUGUAUGCCAGGUGAAAGCUGUAGUUUGACUUUGUGCUGUGAGUUUUAAAGUUCCGGUCUGCUUGGUGCCGGUGUAGCUGCUGAAGCACUAAUCCUAACACCUUUAAUCAGAGCCAGUGGGUAUCUGCAUUCCAUUUCAAGUUCCUGUGUUUCCUGUGGCCCGUUCCUUUGGAAGUUUCAUUGGUCAGUUUAGCUUUUACUGAGAGCAGCUCAUGUAUUUUAAACGUAUCAGUUGGUUGCCAGUAUUUCUUCCUAAUGCAGUAUCAGGAAACAGUAUUAAGGGUCCAUUUCAAAGAAGGGUGCAGUUUCUUCAGUGAAGAAGCCAAAAGCCCAGAGUUCAGACACACAGCCAAUUGAUGUUCUGAACUCAGGUUUUCUUCUUUCCUCUUUAAACAUGUUUAGUGUCGAGCCCUUAUUAGUAAACACACUGUUGUUAGCUUCAGAUUGCUAAAUUUCUGCAGUGUAGAACUCCUGGAUGACAUUUUUGCAUAGUGCCCAUAGGUCAAUGAGACAAAACUUCCUGGAUACCUUCUGAAGAUCUGAACUUAAAGAAUCUCUGUUUCUUUUGUAUUAAACUGACUGACUUAAGUUUUUUCUGUUAAUUCUGAAAUAUAUGGGGGUCAUUAUGCAGCUGAACUGAUAUUUUGUCAAAUCAUUUUUAAGGUUUAUGUUUCUUAAUUCUUUUCAAAUUAAGAUUUUUGUAUUUCCAGUAGUAUAUUUACAGUUGUAUUAGUUGGAACGUGGUUAUAGCUCAAUACACUGCCUCUGUAGGAAAAAUAGUUAACUUCCUUCCAAGACCAUCUUCAGACAAGGGAAAAACAUGGUCAUUGAAGUACUGAACUCCAGAUGAUUCUAAUGUACACUUCUGAGUCACGUUACAGACAAUCUGAAUUCCACUACAUUUCUACUUGGCUUCAACAUUCCAUUUUGCUUGAAUCCAGACUCUCAUUUAACUUGUAUUUGUUGGAGGGCAUAAAUGUUACUUGUAUAUUACAAUGCUGUCACUGUGUGACAUCCCAUAUGAAUUCUGAUGUAAAUCACAUUGCACUCAAUCCGCUGUGAUUAUGCUUAGAAAAUGUUGUAGUUGCUAGAUGCAGUGUGAUUAUUUUUUUUUAUUAUUGUUUUUCCUUUCCUCUCCCCAUUAACAACUGAGUCUACGGUUUAAAAUGUGAUAAUGGUCCAAUAAGAUAACUUGCUGAGCUAUUGUGUUUUUUUGUUAUAACUAAAUCAUUUUUUAAAAAUUUUAUAAAGCUGGAAAUUAUCAAAUGCUGUUUUGUUCAUUGUCAACAGUGUUGUAUUCAUUUUAUGUAUGUUCCUUAUACAUAAGGAGCCUUCAGAAAAUAAAAAAAAAUAUUCAAGGAGCAGA